GCUCACCAUGUGCACUUCUUGCACUUGUCAGUCGCACUCUGCAAGAAGCUGCAGACCACUUGGAGUUGCCCUACAAUGGCUGCAUGCACACUUUUUAAAUCUAUCUCAUUUUUUUUCAAAAUUUCCACCUUUUCGGGGGGACCUGAAAAGCGGACUUGAGCUUUUAUUUUUAUUUUUUGGGGUGGGACGUACUGAUUCACUGAAGAGGAGGAGCGGGAGUAGUCAUGUUGGAGUGCAAGAGAAUGCCAAAGACAUCAGCCCGAAAGUUGGCUUCUGAAGCCACAAGGCUAGCAGUGAUGAUGAGGAGCUCAUCCGUCAGCCUGCAGAUGGAAACACGGGUGGGUGGUUGCAAGGCUGGAUGAAUGCGUGUAGAUGACUGAACUCCGAGACCCCAGUGCAGCUCAUCAUCAUUGCCAUGGGCUCUUGCUUCUCUCCUUCUGUGGCCCGCACCUCCAUCCAGGGGUCCAGCUCAGCCCAUGAAGCCUGAGCAGGAAGCUCGUGAGUGGGCAGGGAAGGAUGAAGAAGGUCCCUGAAGGCUAAAAGCACCUCUGCGGGAGAAAUCAAUAUGAAGCAUGCUCGCCUCGAAGUAGGGUUUCCUCUGCUUCGCUGUGGCCUGCGGGCCCGUGCGGCCCCUCUCAGCUGGACUGGACCACUUGGCUGUGUGUGGUUUUGCCGAGGGGGAUUUCUGCCCCUCUACAACCCCAACCCAAAUGAUUCCAAUACAGUGAAUGCUGAAGCACUGCCAAGAGGGAAAGUUUUUUUUCUUCAUCUUUUUUCCCUUGCAAACGACUGACAUCUUCCCCACCUUCUUUCAAAACCAUGAUGGGACUUUUGACUUCUUUCCAUCCCCAGCUGUCAAUUUAUGCAACCAUUUGACAAAAAGACUGAUAUUUAUUUUUUUCCCCUCCAUUCUUGGUUUGAUGUCACCAUUGUGAGCGAAUAUGCGUUCAAACCAGAGACAUGUUUUUUCCCCCCUCCUCAAAAUGUGUUGUUCAAUACCACAAAAUGGACUGAAACAGUAAAGAGGACGACCACAGAGAUGGUGUAACUUCCUCUCAUUCCAAUGGACGUGAUACCGGAAAACAACAAGGAUUCCUAGUUAAGGUUGUGGCUGCAUUACAGUGUUAUCCUGCUGUUUUGAAUAAAGAACAUAAAUAUGUCUGUGUUGUGUGUACAUUUUAAAAUACACUGCAAAUAAUCUAGGUGUGUCUUGCACUGUUUUUACGGCAAAUAAAAUGUGAUAAGUGUCAA